GAAUAAAACACAAAAUGUCAUAAUUAUUGAGUUUAUGGAAAAAAUACAGAUAUUUUAACAGGAUUUACCAAACGUAAUAAACGUAAUUUAACACCCACAUGCGUCGUUAUUCAGUCGUUAAUGUAAAUCUGCAAAUGAUUAACUGCCUUGGGUCUGCGGAAAUUAAAAUUAAGUCAAUUCUUAUUUGACUUCAUCAUACACAAUUUUUUAUAUUUUAUUAUUAUUAUUUUAUAUAGAAGGAAUAUAAAUAAUAGAGAAAAGUAGAUAGAAGAUGUAUGAAAAGCAAUAUGCAUUCGAUUGCACUCGAAAAAGAAGAAAAUGGUAAACUUUUUAAUGCGCGCGCUAAAUCUUUAGGAACAAAACGUAUAUAAUUCUUAAGUAAUGCUGAUCGUAACCUCAUUUCACCUACGAUAUACCAAUAAAUAUAUCAUGAAGUUUA